rnacentral:rRNA from 1 species
UGGGGAAUAUUCCGCAAUGGACGAAAGUCUGACGGAGCGACGCCGCGUGAGUGAUGAAGGUUUUCGGACUGUAAAGCUCUGUUGUUUAGGACGAAAGUGCCUGUUGCGAACAGUUACAGGUAUUGACGGUACUAAACGAGGAAGCCACGGCUAACUACGUGCCAGCAGCCGCGGUAAUACGUAGGUGGCAAGCGUUGUCCGGAAUUAUUGGGCGUAAAGAGCAUGUAGGCGGAGAUUUAAGUCUGUUGUGAAAAUGCGGGGCUCAACCCCGUAUUGCGAUGGAAACUGAAUUUCUUGAGUGCAGGAGAGGGAAGGGGAAUUCCCAGUGUAGCGGUGAAAUGCGUAGAUAUUGGGAGGAACACCAGUGGCGAAGGCGCCUUUCUGGACUGUGUCUGACGCCGAGAUGCGAAAGCCAGGGUAGCGAACGG